AUAUGGCCAUCUAUUUUAUUCAGGGAAGGAGAUUGUUUACUGGAUCGCUGCAAUUGUAAUAUACAGUACAUGCUCGACCACUUGAACGAUAAAGACAUCAGAGCAGUGAUAGAAAUUAGACAUAGAAACUUUGUUCUGAGACCCUCUCUCUCUCUCUCUCUCUCUCAUCUGACUUUAGAAAGCAUGUUGCCCCUGGCCCCUUCACCACCACUUUGCAACCACCUAUACUGCACUGGUAUCACCACCACCACUGCCAUCACCUAUACUGCAGUACUGCACCAUCAUCACCACCACCAUAUGACUAUCAAGCAUGAUGUACCUUGCCCUUUCACCACCACUGCUACCUCUUUGAAAACCAUCAACACUGGCAUACUGCACUUCCACCACCCCACCAAUACCGCACUGUCAUCACCACCACGGCACCACCUCCACUGCCCAUCACCACUACUAAGCUGCCUUUUCUCUCACACAUUUUACUUUUCUGCUUAAAAACAUCAAUUAACAACUGAAAUGAGCAUCAUAAGUUAUCAAUUAAUGAGUAAAUAACUAAUGAAAAAGUAAAUAACUUAAUUAAAAAGUUAAUGAUGCUCUGACCUAGCAUCAUUAAGUUAUGAAUACAUUGGAGGAUUUUUUAACUUGAGCAGUUGAGCACUGACCUACCGUGGAAAAGCUGCCUAUUGGAUGAUUCCCCGCCUGCUGACUGCAACUCUUAAAGGAAGGUUAUCCACCCAAUUCUCCCAACUGCAGAUUGGUCUGCAAAAGCAAACAUCAUCAAGAUUGAUCUUAAAUGUCACUGAAACAGGCCAUGUCAAAGAUAAAAAGGUCGUUCUACAUCGAAAAGAG
rnacentral:lncRNA from 1 species